CGUCGCUGGACCACCUAACGGGGAUGCGACCCAACAACUAUUACAUUUGACAUGUGCUGUCGCAUUUCGAUUGGAUGGUGCCAGUGCAAUGAUUUGAUAAGAUACCAAAUCCACGACCCAUCCUAUUCGAUGAUCCAAAUAACAGGUACGUUUACCCGCAUUCGAAACUGCGGAUUGGGUAAUGAGAACGAGCGAGCGAGCAAUCUAUCGGCACAGGAUUUCACGUCGCUUCGGUCAACCGCAGAGCACGAUAUCACUCUGAUGAUGUGCGCUUUAUGAGACACCAUACUUUGAAGGAGUAUUACGCAUUGGAGAUGACGUUGGACACCAGCUCUCUCUUGUGUUAUUAUACUUGCGGAGUGUGGUGGGACCGCACCACGUUGUUGUUUCGGAAGAGGGGUCCCUUCGCAUAUUCGCCACGUGGUGCAUGUAGCGGGCCCCGGCGACGCUGAUCGGCUGCGAUAAACACACCGCCGCCUCCCCCUCGUCGCCCCUGCCUCCUGGACCGCUCGUCCGACAGCGACGGAAGGUGCCUCGUCGCCCUCCGGGCCGUUGAUGAUUUCAAAUCGUGGGAGGCGGCUAAGAUGGGCGGAAUUACGUCCUCGAUCGCCGCCAAGUUUGCCUUCUUCCCUCCGAGCCCGCCCUCCUACGAUGUGGUCGCCGACGAGGGGAGCGGGCGGCUCUCCAUUCCCGGUAUCGCAGUCGCGGGCCGCGACGACGCGCACGUCCUGCGCCUCCCUACGCGGAGGGGCAACGAGAUCGUGGCGGUGUAGUUGCGGCACUCCCAGCCGACCGCCACCCUCCUCUACUCGCACGGGAACGCCGCCGACGUCGGGCAGAUGUUCGAUCUCUUUUGACACUAAAGAACUCUUCCCCAAAACAAAAUGUCUUCUCUAUAAGGAUAUUGUUGGUCUCUACUAAAAUAUCCAACUUGAAAUCCUGAAAUAUGAUUUAUAUGACAAUUGGACGAUAGGUAAGUCAAUUGAGCUUGGCCAGCCCACAAUUUAGACGCCUGGUAUAGAGAACUUCGACGAUGCAUGUUGCAAGUUCAACUUGCUUUAGAUAAAAGCCAAUGAUUGGGCUGUGUAUUUAAAUAUUUGUCGACCCUCCUAUUUUGCAGCCAAGUGAGUACAAUACAUAUGCAGGCGUAGAUGUAGUUUAUAACUGUCUUAAGGAACACUAUGGAGUAGCAGAUGAGGACUUAAUCCUGUAUGGUCAGUCACUGGGCAGUGGUCCAACUCUUGAUUUGGCCUCCCGUCUUCAGAAGUUAAGAGCUGUUGUUCUACAGAGUGCCAUCCGAUCCUUUCUGGACUUAGCGUACUGUAUCCAGUUAAGCACACAUUUUGGUUUGGCAUUUACAAGGUAAGUUUUUGCAAAUUCAUAGUGAUGAUUUAGCUUUGUUGCAGAAUAUAGACAAAAUCAACCUUGUCAAUUGUCCAGUUUUGGUAAUUCAUGUAAGUUCAUUUUGCUGGUUCUUGGAUCUGCUUAUUAUGUUUGCAUCUGGUGCUCUACUGUCUAUUUUAUCAAUAAAAUAAAUUAAAAUAAACAGUUUAGCUUUCUCUGCAAGUUAUAUCUUCUAGAUAUUGUUUAGGUUCUCAUUAGCCUAUUUUAUACAAUAAAUUGGAUUGAAGAAAUUUUAGUCUGUUAGUUUCUGAUCAACUUCUAAAGGUCGCAAGAAAUCAAUCUAGCUUUUGAGCCACAACAAGAUAAAAGCAAACAAUUUAAGAGGGAAACAUCUAAUUUAUAUUUCAAGAGGAUUAUGCAAGUCUUCUUGAUACCAUUUUAUAAGAAUAUUGCCAAAUUAAUUCAUUUAAUUAAAUGCAUUGGUUUGGAGAAAGCAGCAAAACAUAUGUAAUGUGUAGAAGAAAUUGGUUCUUCAUAUAAUAAAGCUAUGAUUUUCAUAUUCAAAACAAAACACUAAAGUUCAGACUCAACAUAAUUACCAUUGAUUUGUUUUGUUAGUCAAGUAGAUGAACUAUCAUACCCAACAUAGUUAUUAGUAUGAUUUGUUGAUGUUGAAAAAUAUACAUCACCUUACUUGCCUGCUACUGGCUGGGUACUGCAGAUGAAGUUGUUCAUUGCUCGCACAGAAAGCAGCUUUGGCAGCUUAGCAAACACAAAUACGACCCUCUUUGGCUAGACCGUGGUGGCCACUGUAAUCUUGAACUUUACCCUCAAUUCAUCAAGCACCUCAAGAAAUUUAUUGCAUCUACUAGAUAGUGACACCAAGACAAUUCAAAGGAGACGAAGCUAAACAACAAUGAAGAAACCUGCCUAUCUGAAUCUACAGCUACAGAUGAUGAGCAAAGAGCUUGUAGCUGUUCUGAGAUUGCAAGGAAGCGUUUGGACAGCCAGCUGAGAAAACCUCAGAAGGCAGACCAACUGGCGAAAUCAAGAAUGAGCACGGAUCUUAGUGAGCGAAAAAGGAAGAAAGGCAAAGUAAGUUAAAGAAUGGUCUCGAGGUCCUGAACAAACUGUAAGUUUUAACAAAAGAACUUUUGGUCCGAUUCUGCUGCCAACUGUUGUUUUGUAUUGGUGUCUGGAGUGUAAUUGUGUUCCAGUCAAAUUCACAAAGUGUUUCUAUAACAAAGGCAGUGUCUGACUACAUGUAAUUCCUCAGUUUUAAGAACAUACAGAGAAAUUUGGGAGUGUAAAUUGUAUAUAUUUGGCAAUGAGAAUGAUAAUGGAUUUUGAUUGA